rnacentral:rRNA from 1 species
GCGCCUACACAUGCAGUCGAACGCAGUAGCAAUACUGAGUGGCAAACGGGUGAGUAUAAUGUGGGAAUCUGCCUUUUGGUUUGGAAUAACACGGGGAAACUUGUGCUAAUACCGAAUAAGCCCUUACGGGGAAAGUUUUAACGCCGAAAGAUGAGCCCGCACUUGAUUAGCUAGUUGGUAAGGUAAAAGCUUACCAAGGCAAUGAUCAAUAGCUGUUCUUAGAGGAAGACCAGCCACAUUGGGACUGAGACACGGCCCAGACUCCUACGGGAGGCAGCAGUGGGGAAUCUUGCACAAUGGGGGAAACCCUGAUGCAGCGAUGCCGCGUGAGUGAAGAAGGCCUUUGGGUUGUAAAACUCUUUCGUCGGGGAAGAAAAUGACUGUACCCGAAUAAGAAGGUCCGGCUAACUUCGUGCCAGCAGCCGCGGUAAUACGAAGGGACCUAGCGUAGUUCGGAAUUACUGGGCUUAAAGAGCUCGUAGGUGGUUAAAAAAGUUGAUGGUGAAAUCCCAAGGCUUAACCUUGGAACUGCCAUCAAAACUUUUUAGCUAGAGUGUGAUAGAGGUAAGUGGAAUUUCUAGUGUAGAGGUGAAAUUCGUAGAUAUUAGAAAGAACACCAAAUGCGAAGGCAACUUACUGGGUCAUUACUGACACUGAGGAGCGAAAGCAUGGGUAGCGAAGAGGAUUAGAUACCCUCGUAGUCCAUGCCGUAAACGAUGUGUGCUAGACGUUGGAAAUAUAUUUUUCAGUGUCGCAGCGAAAGCAUUAAGCACACCGCCUGGGGAGUACGACCGCAAGGUUAAAACUCAAAUGAAUUGACGGGGACCCGCACAAGCAGUGGAGCAUGUGGUUUAAUUCGAAGAUACGCGCAGAACCUUACCAACACUUGACAUGUUCGUCGCGAGCCUAAGAGAUUAGGCUUUUCAGUUCGGCUGGACGAAACACAGUGCUGCAUGGCUGUCGUCAGCUCGUGUCGUG